rnacentral:rRNA from 1 species
CCUACGGGGGGCUGCAGUGGGGAAUAUUGGACAAUGGGCGAAAGCCUGAUCCAGCCAUGCCGCGUGUGUGAAGAAGGCCUUCGGGUUGUAAAGCACUUUCAGUGGGGAAGAAAGCCUUGGGGCUAAUACCCUCGAGGAAGGACAUCACCCACAGAAGAAGCACCGGCUAACUCCGUGCCAGCAGCCGCGGUAAUACGGAGGGUGCGAGCGUUAAUCGGAAUUACUGGGCGCAAAGCGCGCGUAGGCGGUCUGAUAAGCCGGUUGUGAAAGCCCCGGGCUCAACCUGGGAACGGCAUCCGGAACUGUCAGGCUAGAGUGCAGGAGAGGAAGGUAGAAUUCCCGGUGUAGCGGUGAAAUGCGUAGAGAUCGGGAGGAAUACCAGUGGCGAAGGCGGCCUUCUGGACUGACACUGACGCUGAGGUGCGAAAGCGUGGGUAGCAAACAGGAUUAGAUACCCCAGUAGUC